AUAUUUGAUUGAAGUCGUCUGAGGAAAAAUUUUAAGCUUGCAAUUUGAACUUCAUGUACUUUUUCAUGUCAGUUAUAAAAUACUGUGCUCUUUAACGCUGACCUCUGCGAUUUCCCCAAAUGCGGGAAACUCGACUGCAUAAUUUGUGGUAGUGGGGGACUGCGUUCGCGCUCUCCCCUG
rnacentral:snRNA from 15 species